rnacentral:lncRNA from 1 species
UUGCUAUUUUCUGAUUUUGUUUUAGGAUGCUGUUUUAACAUAUUUAUCAAGUUACAUCAAACUCUUGGUAAUAUGAGACCUUACCCAGUAUCUGAGAUCACACAGAGGCACAGAAGAGAGAAUAGAGAGUGAAUUCUC